CGUUCAACCUCAAAAGAAGCAGAGGGGGCUUAGUGGUGGGGUGACUGCGUACCUUUUGUAUAAUGGGUCAGCGACUUAUAUUCUGUAGCAAGGUUAACCGAAUAGGGGAGCCGGAGGGAAACCGAGUCUUAAUUGGGCGUUAAGUUGCAGGGUAUAGACCCGAAACCCGGUGAUCUAGCCAUGGGCAGGUUGAAGGUUGGGUAACACUAACUGGAGGACCGAACCGACUAAUGUUGAAAAAUUAGCGGAUGACCUGUGGCUGGGGGUGAAAGGCCAAUCAAACCGGGAGAUAGCUGGUUCUCCCCGAAAGCUAUUUAGGUAGCGCCUCGUGAAUUCAUCUCCGGGGGUAGAGCACUGUUUCGGCUAGGGGGCCAUCCCGGCUUACCAACCCGAUGCAAACUGCGAAUACCGGAGAAUGUUAUCACGGGAGACACACGGCGGGUGCUAACGUCCGUCGUGAAGAGGGAAACAACCCAGACCGCCAGCUAAGGUCCCAAAGUCAUGGUUAAGUGGGAAACGAUGUGGGAAGGCCCAGACAGCCAGGAUGUUGGCUUAGAAGCAGCCAUCAUUUAAAGAAAGCGUAAUAGCUCACUGGUCGAGUCGGCCUGCGCGGAAGAUGUAACGGGGCUAAACCAUGCACCGAAGCUGCGGCAGCGAACGUAUCACUUAAAGCGAUUCAGCGGGUUACGAUUGACGGAGCGAAGCGACGUCAAAGCGUAUACAAAGUCGAGUCGGUUUAAGGAUACGUUCGUUGGGUAGGGGAGCGUUCUGUAAGCCUGUGAAGGUGGCCUGUGAGGGUUGCUGGAGGUAUCAGAAGUGCGAAUGCUGACAUAAGUAACGAUAAAGCGGGUGAAAAGCCCGCUCGCCGGAAGACCAAGGGUUCCUGUCCAACGUUAAUCGGGGCAGGGUGAGUCGACCCCUAAGGCGAGGCCGAAAGGCGUAGUCGAUGGGAAACGGGUUAAUAUUCCCGUACUUGGUGUUACUGCGAAGGGGGGACGGAGAAGGCUAUGUUGGCCGGGCGACGGUUGUCCCGGUUUAAGCGUGUAGGCUGGUUUUCCAGGCAAAUCCGGAAAAUCAAGGCUGAGGCGUGAUGACGAGGCACUACGGUGCUGAAGCAACAAAUGCCCUGCUUCCAGGAAAAGCCUCUAAGCAUCAGGUAACAUCAAAUCGUACCCCAAACCGACACAGGUGGUCAGGUAGAGAAUACCAAGGCGCUUGAGAGAACUCGGGUGAAGGAACUAGGCAAAAUGGUGCCGUAACUUCGGGAGAAGGCACGCUGACACGUAGGUGAAGUGAUUUACUCAUGGAGCUGAAGUCAGUCGAAGAUACCAGCUGGCUGCAACUGUUUAUUAAAAACACAGCACUGUGCAAACACGAAAGUGGACGUAUACGGUGUGACGCCUGCCCGGUGCCGGAAGGUUAAUUGAUGGGGUCAGCGCAAGCGAAGCUCCUGAUCGAAGCCCCGGUAAACGGCGGCCGUAACUAUAACGGUCCUAAGGUAGCGAAAUUCCUUGUCGGGUAAGUUCCGACCUGCACGAAUGGCGUAAUGAUGGCCAGGCUGUCUCCACCCGAGACUCAGUGAAAUUGAACUCGCUGUGAAGAUGCAGUGUACCCGCGGCAAGACGGAAAGACCCCGUGAACCUUUACUAUAGCUUGACACUGAACAUUGAGCCUUGAUGUGUAGGAUAGGUGGGAGGCUUUGAAGUGUGGACGCCAGUCUGCAUGGAGCCGGCCUUGAAAUACCACCCUUUAAUGUUUGAUGUUCUAACGU
rnacentral:rRNA from 1 species